AUGCAGCAAGCUGCUGUUCAACUUCCUUUCUUCCCGCCUCCCGGAAGCCGGCGAGAAUCCUCGGGAGGCUCAGCUACCCUUCUAGCCUCCUUCAGCAUGGUUGGUUGUGCGCAGCCACCUUCCACCUUCAGCCCCCCGCCCGCCGGACCCGGGCCCGUGGGCCGCUUGUGGUGGCAGCCGCGCGGGGUCUGUCCCCUGCGCUACGCACGCCGGCCAGGGCCGGGCCUGCUGGGGCGGGCGCUGGGGCCACCGCGCGUCCACACUAGCUGCGGCGUGUCUGGGUUAGCGGAGGGUUCAGCGGGACGAUUAGGGCCGACUGCCAGAGCCGGAGGCAAAGAGUAAGAAGAGAUCAACACACCAUAACUGCUGUUUUGGGCUUCGAUGAGGACAUUAUGGAUAAUUCAGACAAACCAGGGGUUAGGUUUUUUGGUUUUGUUUUGUUUUUUUCACUUGCACUACCUAGGUGAAAUAACACACUCACAGUGGAAAACUACAUGGAACUGAACGAAAGACUACUGUGUUUUGGAAAUUAUCCCAUGGAUAAGGAAUGGAAAGUUCAGCCUUAAGAGAUCUGAGUUCAUUAUCUGACUAACUUUUUGUGGGAAAUAUUUCUUCUCCAAAAAAUAUUUGGUGUUCAGGAGCUCCAAUUUCCUCAGCAAUACUAAAGAGAUAAGGAAUAGGGGUUCAGAAGCUGGUGAACUCUGCUUAUCCCACUCUCUUCUCAGAACUGAGUACAGAAAAUAUCAAAUAGUAGUGCAACUGGAUACCCUGAUGCCCCCUUCAGGAUGAAAUUUUACUCUGUGGAAAGAAUAUAGGCCCUAUAAGUUUAUAUUUAUCAUAUAUAUAGGUGUUGUAAUUGAUUUAACAGUUUUCUUCAAGUAGUUACAAUAUAACAGCUCCAAAUAGCUUAUUAUUAAAUUGUAAGCAAAAUCUUAGGAUAUUUGGAAUGUAGUUAGUAUUAAUAUAAAUAUAAAUUUCAUUUAUCUUGGGUCAGACCAUCAGUAGUUGCCAGUUGUCUUCAAUAAUUAGCUUAAAUUGUUUUUUUUUUUCAUUUGGAAUGAAAAAGCAAUAUUCUUGCCUUCUCAAGUUCAACUGGGUUUAAAAAUUUAAUAUUUUGAUCCUAUUUUCUGAAAUUUAUGUAUGUAUUUUGCUUCAUCUUAAAUUGUACAUACUUGGAGGCCUAGAAUUUGAUGAUAUACAUAUUAUUAUUAUUUUCCUUAAGAUUUUACUUCAUAUUAAAGAAGUUCUAGGAUUUACUCAUUUUUUAAAUAUAUUUUUUAUUUAGAGAAGUUGUGAGCUUACUAAUCAUCUAAAAUGUGCAGAAUACCCAUACAUCAUCCCUCCACCAACACUUUAUGUUGUGGAAUAUUUGUUACAGAUUAUGAAAGAACACGAUCAGAUUACCACUAACUAUGGUCCAUAGCUUACAUUUGGUAUAUUUUUUCCAUGUACCUCCUAUUGUUAAUACUAUGUAUUAGUAUUAUAGAUUUAUUUUAGUUCAUGAGAGAACAUGUUCAUAUUUGUGCUACUAACAAGUGAUCUUCUACUACAUGGUUCACUAUUGUACAGUCCCAUGCCUUAUACAAUCUAUCCAAAGUGUACACUCAGUAGCUCUCACUUUCAUCACAUCGUUGUGCAGUCAUCACCUCAAUAAAUUUUUGAACAUUUUCCUUAGUCCAAAAGAAAAAAUCCUAUACUUUCCCCCAUUAUUUAAUGUUCAACAUUGUCCUUUUGAUAAAGCAAAGACAUUUUACUAUCACAAAACCAUUUUUUAAAAAGAAUUAACAUCUAUCAGUUGUAAUUUCUGCUUUCUACAGAUAGGCCUGGAGCAAGUAAUGAAAUAAUACAUUGUAGAAAAUGUGAGAAACUUAAGGAAGCAAAAAAGAGAACAUAAAUGUCACUUUGAGAUAAAAUGCUAACAUUUUGGUGCAGUCCUUUUAAACUUGUUUUUCCUUUGAUCCACCUCUAUGGAUGGAUUGAUCCAUCUCUUUGGAUCUUUUGUUUUUCUUUUCUUUUUAACUAAAAUAUCAUAGUAUCCAUGCUAUAAUUUUCUAUAUCCUGGCUAUUUUUAUUAAUAUAGGAUGGACAUUUUCCCAUGUUGUUAAAUAUUUCCCACACCAAGUUGUAAAUGGAAGAAUUAGUUUUUUUAAUGUAAUGUUCCAGCUAACGUGAAAAGACACAUAACACUUUUUUCAUAUUUCAUAUUAUUUUCUGAUUCUUAGAAGUCAGGAAAAAGAAAAUUAGUAGUUUUAAAAGACCUAAAAAAUGCUUUGAAUAAUAGUAUUAAACAGGGUUUUAAAUUUAACCAGUGA
ensembl:lincRNA